AUGUCUGCGAAUCAGGAUUCCUGAUCCAGAGACAAUGGCCCCAUGGGAUGGAGCCAGAAGGUGUCAUCAAGAGUAACUGGAAUGAAAUUGUUGACAACUUUGAUGAUGUGAACCUUUCGGAGUCUCUCCUCUGUGGCAUCUAUGCCUAUGACUUUGAAAAGCCCUCUGCCAUCCAGCAACAAGCCAUUCUUCCUUGUAUCAAGGGUUAUGAUGUGAUCGCUCAAGCCCAAUCUGGGACAGCGAAAACAGCCACAUUUGCCAUAGAUCUAAAGGCAACUUAGGCCUUGGUCUUGGCCCCCACUAGAGAAUUAGCUCCGCAGAUACAAAAAGUGUUCAUGGCAUUAGGAGAUUAUAUGGGUGCCUGCUGUCAUGCCUGCAUUGGGGGCACCAAUGUACAGGCUGAGGUGCAGAAGUUGCAGAUGGAAGCUCCCCAUAUCAUCGUGGGCACCCCGGCCGUGUUUUCGAUAUGCUUAAUUGGAGAUACCAGUCUCCCAAAUACAUCAAGAUAUUUGUAUUGGAUGAAGAUGGUUAAGCUGUGGGUUCAAGGACCAGAUCUACGAUAUAUUCCAAAAGCUCAACAGCAACACCCAGGUGGUCCUGUUGUCAGCUACAAUGCCUUCUGACGUGCUUGAUGUGACCAAGAAGUUCAUGAGGGACCCCAUUCGGAUCCUUGUCAAGAAGGAAGAGUUGACUCUGGGGGGUACCCGCCAAUUCUACAUCAAUGUGGAACGAGAGGAGUGGAAGCUCGAUACACUGUGCGACUUGUAUGAAACCCUGACCAUCACUCAGGCAGUCAUCUUUAUCAACACCUGAGGUCGAUUGGCUUACUGAGAAGAUGCAUGCCCGAGACUUCACUGUCUCUCCAUGCAUGGAGGUAUGGACCAAAAGGAACGAAAUGUGAUCAUGAGGGAAUUCCGAUCUGGCUCUAGCGGAGUACUGAUUACUACUGACCUGCUGGCCAGAGGCAUUGAUGUGCAGCAAGUUUCUUUAGUCAUCAACUAUGAUCUUCCAACUAACAGGGGAAACUAUAUCCACAGAAUUGGUUGUGGUGGUCAUUUUGGCCGUAAGGGUGUGGUUAUUAAUAUGGUAACAGAAGACAAGAGGACUCUUAGAGACAAUGGAGACCUCCUACAACACCUCCAUUGAAGAAAUGCCCCUCAAUAUUGCUGACCUGAUCUGAGGGGUGUGCUACCUGGCUCCAGCCAGGAUUGAACCUCUGGCAGGCUAAGGAGCAGCUGGAGGGGGGAAGAAAGGGGAGCCAAGGGAUGGACAUCUUGUCUU